AAUCAAAAAAGAAAAUUCAAAUACCUGGUCACCUUUUAAAAGUUUCAUUGAGCUAAAGGCAAAACAUUUGACAAGUUUUUGAUUUGCCUUUCUCAUGAUUUGAUGUCCCAGCAGAGCAACUGGGGAACCUAAUUCUGACCAACAAGGAGGAAUUGCCUGGCUAAUUGGAAGUGACAGAAACCUUGGGAGAAAGCAACCACAUACCAAGGAUAAUUAUAAGAAGGCUUUGGAGUGGAACACUAGUCGGAGAGCACAGAAGAGGCCUGAGAACAACUAUCCCCAUCAUUGAGGAAUUAUGGGAAACAAUAGAUCCUAGAACAUAAAACAUGGACAAAUGUCUGCCUUCAGGGUUAGAAGUGGAAAUUUAAAAUGUGGAAUUAUUUGCUUUUUGACUCAAUGAUAUUCCCUCCCAUUGGUGUACUAUUCAUUUGCCCAGGGAAGAGGGAAUUCCCAAAGAAGCAACUGAAACAAAGGAAUGGACUGAAUUUUCCAAAGAAGUGCUUAAAGUGAAGUCACAAGUCUUGAAAGCUGAGAUGAUGAUGGAAGAACAGUUCUCUUGGAUUUCUUCAAAGCUUCAAGACGUACAGCUUGAAAGAAGAAGGGAAAAAUUGUAUCCUUAAGCAAGAUGAAGUGAGUUGAAUGGGGGCAUGACAUCAAAGAUGUCCAUGUCUCAAAUCUGAGGAAACUGUGAAUGUUACCUUUUUUUGGGAAAACGGUCUUUUGCAGAUGUAAUUGAGUUAAAGAUCUUGAGACGUGGAGAUCAAUUGCCCUGGAUUAUCCACCAGAAUGUAAAUUCAGGGGCAAGUAUCCUUAUGGGACAGAGGAGAAAACACAGAAAAGAGGAGGCAGUAUGACCCCAGAGAUGGGAGUAAUGUGGCCACAUGUGAAGGAAUGGUGACAGCUAGCAGACGCUGGAAAAGGCAAAAAUGAGGUUUUAUCCUAGAUCCUUCAGAAGAAGUGCUGCCCUGCUAACAUCUUGACUUCAGACUUCUGGCCUCAGAACUCUAAAAUAAUAAAUUUCUGCUGUGUUAAGUCA